CAUUAGAAUUGUUAUUGUAUUCCUAUGAGCCAACCUAUGGCUUAUUAGGGCAAGAAACUGUGCAUCUUCUGUUCCUAUGGAUAAAUGCCUCUAUUGUUUCCUUAGUGAUCUACAAAGUACCAGCCUGUGAGCACAGAUGUUCACCUUGCAUCUCUUAAUGUUUCUUAAAUUUAUCUUUCUGCAAAGUUUUACAGUUCUAACCUCGGCCACCUCUUAAAUAUUUGAUUACAUAAAAUAAGAAUAGGGCGAAUCAGGCUUCUUAAAACAUUGGAGUUGGAGUAUGUCCCACAUACAUACAGCAUGUAUCUCUUUUUUUGUUUUUGUCCCCCAGUUGCUGCCUCCAGGGUACCAGCUAUCCUUAUCACUGCUCCCAUGGCAACAAGUCUCUGCUCCAGAGGGGAAGUGAUGUUUUUAAAUCUAUACAAGUUGGAAGCCAAAUGAUUGGAAGCAGCUAGAGCUGUAGAGAAGGACACUGGGAUCCUGGUGUUGAACAUGAGUCAACAGUGUGCACACCAAAAGUAAUUAAACUCC
rnacentral:lncRNA from 1 species